ACUCCUGCGGGAGGCAGCAGUGGGGAAUAUUGGACAAUGGGCGCAAGCCUGAUCCAGCCAUGCCGCGUGAGUGAUGAAGGCCCUAGGGUUGUAAAGCUCUUUCACCGGUGAAGAUAAUGACGGUAACCGGAGAAGAAGCCCCGGCUAACUUCGUGCCAGCAGCCGCGGUAAUACGAAGGGGGCUAGCGUUGUUCGGUUUUACUGGGCGUAAAGCGCACGUAGGCGGACUAUUAAGUCAGGGGUGAAAUCCCGGGGCUCAACCCCGGAACUGCCUUUGAUACUGGUAGUCUUGAGUUCGAGAGAGGUGAGUGGAAUUCCGAGUGUAGAGGUGAAAUUCGUAGAUAUUCGGAGGAACACCAGUGGCGAAGGCGGCUCACUGGCUCGAUACUGACGCUGAGGUGCGAAAGCGUGGGGAGCAAACAGGAUUAGAAACCCCAGUAGUCC
rnacentral:rRNA from 1 species